UUUGGAGAGUAUCUCAUUAAGUGUGCAGUCACAGAUGUACAGGAAAUCACGGUUGAGGCUGAAACUUCAAUCAGAGAAGUUCAGGUUCAUCUGAGAAGAUUACAGCUAAUGCCACUCUGGGAUUUGAUGAAGAUCGAUUCGAAGCACUGGAAUUGAGAUCGAUGGAAUCGGUUCUGCUUCUUAGGUGGAGGUGAUGAUAAUGAAACUGGCAGUGGAGAAAUCAUUGCCUGCCAUCAUAGAAGGCUCCACUGGAGACUUUCUAUUCCUAGCCAUAAUCAUUGUCAUACUUAAUAAGGUGUGGCAUAUCAAGAAGCAUUGAGCGUGUUUGGGAUGGUCUGAAUCGACAUGUACAAGAGUGUGUUCCAGUUCCUGCCAAUAUACAGCAACUUCACAAAACAAUUGAAGAGGAGUGGGAGAACAUUCCACAGACCACAAUCAACAGCCUGAUCAACUCUCUGCGAAGGAGAUGCCACGCUGCAUGAGGCAAAUGGUGGUCACACCAGACUGGUUUUCUGAUCCAUGCCCCUACCUUUUUUUAUCUGUGACCAUCUGUAUUUCCAGUCUUGUCUUGAAAUCCAUAGAUUAUGACCCAAUGAAUUUUAUUUCAAUUGACUGAUUUCCUUAUAUGAACUGUAACUCAGUACAAUCUUUUAAAUUGUUGCAUGUGGCAUUUAUAUUUGUGUUCGUUGUAGUACAAAAAGAAAAACUACCUUUAUGUAUCGGCCUCAUGGCCUUCAUCAGAGCGUGUUUAUAAUUUGCGCACUUAUGUAGACAUUGCUCCAUCCACAUCUGUUCAAUGCAUCGAAUGGGUUUGGAGUUGAGGGAAAAUAAGCAAGUGUUACCAAAUAUAACAAUGUGCAUUUCAUAUGUAUUCUAUUGAAGUGUGUACAUAAAAUGCAAAAAACAAGUUUGUAAAACCACAAUGAGGACAUCAACUUAGUUUUCAUAAAUCAUUGGGUACAGAGCAAGAAAAAAACAUUAAUUUAUUUAAGCUCUAGUACUGCCAAUAUUAAAAACAGUCAAAUGCAUUCGUGAAUUCAAUCGCUUGUUGCAGUUUAUUCAGUGUUUAAUUAAAGGCUCCCUUUGUUUCAUUUUAUAAUUAAAAUGCUUGACUCUAUUUAACAACA